GAUUAGCUCAGUUGGUUCAGAGCAUCCCGAUUUUGCAUCGGGAGAGUCGGGAGUUCGAAUCUCUCAUCACCCA
rnacentral:tRNA from 1 species